GUGGCCUCGACUACACUCCCAACCCCUGUGACAUACCUUACUGUUGCCUCGGCGGAUCAGCCCGCUCCCGGUAAAACGGGACGGCCCGCCAGAGGACCCCUAAACUCUGUUUCUAUAUGUAACUUCUGAGUAAAACCAUAAAUAAAUCAAAACUUUCAACAACGGAUCUCUUGGUUCUGGCAUCGAUGAAGAACGCAGCAAAAUGCGAUAAGUAAUGUGAAUUGCAGAAUUCAGUGAAUCAUCGAAUCUUUGAACGCACAUUGCGCCCGCCAGUAUUCUGGCGGGCAUGCCUGUUCGAGCGUCAUUUCAACCCUCAAGCCCUCGGGUUUGGUGUUGGGGAUCGGCGAGCCAUUCUGGCAAGCCGGCCCCGAAAUCUAGUGGCGGUCUCGCUGCAGCCUCCAUUGCGUAGUAGUAAAACCCUCGCAACUGGAACGCGGCGCGGCCAAGCCGUUAAACCCCCAACUUCUGAAUGUUGACCUCGGAUCAGGUAGGAAUACCCGCUGAACUUAAGCAUAUCAAUAAGGCGGAGGAA
rnacentral:rRNA from 1 species